GACGAACGCUGGCGGCGUGCUUAACACAUGCAAGUCGUACGGAAAGGCCUGCUUUCCCUUGUGGAUUGCGGGUACUCGAGUGGCGAACGGGUGAGUAACACGUGAGUGAUCUGCCCCCAACUUGGGUAUAAGCCUGGGAAACUGGGUCUAAUUCCCGAUAGGACUGCAGGGUGGUGCCUGUGGUGGAAAACGAUUUUCUAGUGGUUGGGGAUGAGCUCGCGGCCUAUCAGCUUGUUGGUGGGGUAAUGGCCUACCAAGGCGGGGACGGGUAGCCGGCCUGAGAGAGUGGACGGCCGCAGUGGGACUGAGAUACGGCCCAGACGCCUACGGGAGGCAUCAGUGGGGAAUAUUGCACAAUGGGCGGAAGCCUGAUGCAGCGACGCCGCGUGGGGGAUGACGGCCUUCGGGUUGUAAACUCCUUUCGACCGCGAGGAAGCCACCUGGUUGGAAGGGUGGUGACGGUAGUGGUAGAAGAAGCACCGGCUAACUACGUG
rnacentral:rRNA from 1 species